AACGGCACCCAUUUACUUUAUAUUUCCUUUUUUGUGUCUAAGUAUAUACACAAAACGCAAAACGCAACUCUGCCAGUAGUCCUGCUUGCGCCUCCUCACCGCCAAAAGCAACUCUCUCCUGCACCUUUCUUUAUCAUUUGAAAAUGGCAAUGAAACUGCCCAACCGCCAGAGGCAACUUACUGCAACCCCAUUCUCCCCAGAACAGAAUUUGCCCUUAAAGGGGUCGGAAGGCGAUUGCUCUGCAACACCUCUGUCGGGGGAAGCGUCUCUGCCUAUUUGCAGUUCAUCCCGUGUUUCUCAUUCCAAAGAUUUCUAUGUUCUAUUCUGCUCUGGGGUUCGGAACCAAAGGAUCGAGUGAUCAUUGCAUAUCUCUUCUUCGUCGCCAGAAUACGAGACUCAAUGGUAGCUCCUGCUCGGUUUAUGCAUGCCAUGUGUUUGACGAAACUCCUAUUCCAAAUUCCAAGGCAUCUCUGUUUCCACUGGACAGCUUCUUUCAGUGGGGUCUGCUAAAUGUGAUUCUAAAAUUAAUGUUCAUAGGGCACAAGAUAUGAUAUUAAUGAUAUUUUGGUUGCUAAUUCUGUUGCCUCGACCAUUAAAUGAUCGUGCUUUGUUUAUGUGGACGAUAUAGAGGUUGAAUUGUAGGAUUUGAAGGGUUGGGCUGCCCUGGUUUUAAUGGUUUUUGUGUUGCAGAUAGGAAAGAGAAGGAGCAGAAAGGGGAAUAAAAUGUUUCCGGAGAGGUUAGAGAAGGCCGUCAACAAUAAUGAUUUUUCAAAAUUGUUGGAAUAUCAGUUUGCUGGUCUUAAAACUAAAUUUCAUUUCAUGGACGGAUAGGUAAGUGUUCUUAAAUUUAAUCUCAUGCCUUCCCCUAAUUUUACUUAUUAUAUAAUUUUACUUAUUAUAAUACACUCCAAUUACUUACUAACAUGCACGAGACUUACUAAUGUCAAUUGAGAAUUAUAUAUGAUGGUCAUAUAAUUGUUUCUUUUUUAGAACCAUUUGUGUUUUCAGAUUUCUCUUCAGCAGCAUAUCAAUUGAAUUUACCUAAAUUGUCAACCCUCCAUUCGUCGGAUCAUCAUUAAUCAGUUGCAGCCCAUGCGACACUCAAUUGACAGUAAAUAGCUGCAUCUCGACUUCCGAGAGGCAGUCUCUCAGUUUUAUGGUGAUAAUCUAGCCUGCUACUGAAAUAUUUGUCCUGAUUUUUGGGUACACUGGCUCCUUAUUUUGUAAUUACUAAUCAUCUGGCUGUUCGUGUUUGUUUGGAGCUUUGGGCUGAUAGAUGUAUAAGCUUCUGGAACCUUUAUGUGUAAAUUUCUAAUGGUGACCAAAAUAUUGUACUCUCUCAAUUGAAUGAGUUUUGAUAUGUAAGGAUGAUGUUUGAAGUACAAGUAAGAAAGCACUUCUGUCUUUA